rnacentral:lncRNA from 1 species
GGACGCGGUGGCUCAUGCCUAUAAUCCCAGCACUUUGGGAGGCCGAGGCAGGCGGAUCACUUGAAGUCAGGAGUUCGAGACCAGCCUGGCUAAGAUGGUGAAACCCCGUCACUACUAAAAACACAAAAAUUAGCCAGGCAUGGUGUUGCAUGCCUGUAAUCCCAGCUAUUCAGGAGGCUGAGGGAGAAGAAUCGCUUGAACCUGGGAGGCGGAGUUUGCAGUGAGCCAAGAUCAUGCCACUGCACUCUAGCCUGGGUGACAGAGCGAGACUCUGUCUCAAAAAAAAAAAAAAAAACUGGAGUGCAGUGGCGGGAUCUCGGCUCACUACAUGCUCCGCCUCCCAGGUUCACACCAUUCUCCUGCCUCAGCCUCCCAAGUAACUGGGACUACAGGCACCCACCACCAUGCCCAGCUAAUUUUUUGUAUUUCAUUAAAGAAAUAUCUAUUUCGAUCCUCUGUCUACAUUUUAAUGUUAUUCAACUUUUUAUUAUUGAGUUGUAAAGUUCCUUUAUUAUCCUAGAGACAAGUUCUUUAUCAGCUAUGUGAUUUACAAAUAUUUUAUCUCAUCCCAUAGGUUGUCUUUUACUCCGUCUCAAAAUAAAUAAAUAAAUAAAUAAGCUAAUAAAAAUAAAAAAGAAAUAAAAUCAAAAUUUUGGGAAGCUAGCAGUUAUUGACCAAGUCCUGAUCACUUGGGGCUGAGUGCCUGUGCUGUCUUCCCCACAUCACUCUUUCCUGGAUGGGCUGCUCUUGGCGGAAGUCCAAGAUCAAAGGGCCAGCAUCUGGUGAGGGCCUUUGUGCUGCAACAUCCCAUGGUGGAAGACGGAAGGGCACAGAAAGGUUAAGAGAGAGAGAGAGCGGAGAAACCUGAAUACUUAAGCAGGUGUCACUAGGGCAAGUUUGCAUCCUCCCUAUAUAUAGGACCACUGCUGAUGCACUUUUGAAAGGGCUCCUGCCUCAGCCUCCCGAGUAGCUGGGACUACAGGCGCCCGCCACCGCGCCCAGCUAAUUUUUUUGUAUUUUUAGUAGAGACGGGGUUUCACCUUGUUAGCCAGGAUGGUCUCGAUCUCCUGACCUCAUGAUCCACCCGCCUCGGCCUCCCAAAGUGCUGGGAUUACAGGCGUGAGCCACCGCGCCCGGCCAAGAAUAGAAUCUUAAGAGCUGUGAGGCAAAAGCAUUUGGUAACCUCUAAAGGAAAAUCUAUCAGAUUAACAGCAGAUUUCUCAGCAGAAACCCUACAAGCUAGAAUGAAUUGGGGUCCUAUUUUUAACCUCCUUAAACAAAACAAUUACCAGCCAAGAAUUUUGUAUUCAGCAAAACUAAGCUUCACAAAUGAAGAAAAGAUAGUCUUUUCCAGACAGACAAACUGAGAGAAUUCACCACUACCAAGCCAGCACUACAAGAACUGCUAACAUAAGCUCUAAAUCUUGAAACAAAUCCUUGAAAUGCAACAAAAUAGAACCUCCUUAAAGCAUAAAUCUCACAGACCCUAUAUAACAAUAAUGCAAUGAGAAAACAACAACAACAAGGUAUUCAGGCAACAAACAGCACCAUGAAUAGAAUAGUACCGGUGGGGCGCCAUGGCUCACGCCUGUAAUCCCAGUACUUUGGGAGGCCAAGGUGGGUGGAUCAUGAGGUCAGGAGAUCAAGACCAUCCUGGAUAACAUGGUGAAACCCCAUCUCUACUAAAAAUACAAAAUAUUAGCCAGGUGUGGUGGCACACGCCUGUAAUCCCAGCUACUCGGGAGGCUGAAGCAGGAGGGAGAAUCACUUGAACCUGGAAGGCAGAGGUUGUAGUGAGCCGAGAUUGCGCCAUUGCACUCCAACCUGGGUGACAGAGUGGCACUCCAUCUCGAAAAAAAAUAAAUAAAUAAGAAUAGUACCUCACAUCUCUCAAUACUAACAUUGAGUGUAAAUGGCCUAAAUGCUCCACUUAAAAGAUACAGAAUGGCAGAAUGGAUCACCAACUAAGUUUCUGCUGUCUUCAGGAGACUCAUCUAACACAUAAGGACUCACAUAAACUUAAGGUAAGGGGCUGGAAAAAGAUAUUCCAUGCAUAUGGACACCAAAAGCAAGCAGGAGUAGCUAUUCUUAUAUUAGACAAAACAAACUUUAAAGCAACAGCAGUUUAAAAAGACAAAGAGGGACUUUAUAUAAUGAUAAAAGGACUAGUCCAACAGGAAAAUAUCACAAUUCUAAAUAUAUACGCACCUAAUGCUGGAGCUCCCAAACUUAUAAAACUACUACUCAACCUAAGAAAUGAGAUAGACAGCAACAUACUAAUAGUGGAAGACUUCAAUACUCCACUAACAGCAUUAGACAGGUCAUCAAGACAGAAAGUCAACAAAGAAAACAUGGACUUAAACUACACCCUAGAACAAAUGGACUUAACAGAUAUUUACAGAACAUUCUACCCAACAACUGCAGAAUAUACAUUCUAUUCAUCAGCACAUGGAACAUCCUCCAAGAUAGAUCAUAUGAUAGGCCACAAAACAAGUCUCAGACAAUUUAAGAAAACUGAAAUUGUAUCAUGUACUCUCUCAGACCACAGUGGAAUAAGAUUGGAAAUCAACUCCAAAAGGAACCCUCACAACCAUGCAAGUACAUGAAAAUUUGAUAACCUGCUCCUGAAUGAUCACUGCAGCACCAAUGAAAUCAAGAUGAAGAUUAAAAGAUCCUUUGAACUAAACGAUAAUAGCAACACAAACUAUCAAAACCUCUGGGAUAGAGCAAAAGCGGUGCUAAAAGGAAAGUUCAUACCACUAAAUGCCUACAUCAAAAAGUCUAAAAGAGCACAAAUAGACAAUCUAAGGUCACACCUCAUGAAACUGGAGAAACAAGAACAUCAAGAACAUACCAAAUCCAAACCCAGCAGAAGUAAAGAAAUAAGUGCGCCUGUAGUCCCAGCUACUUGAGAAGCGGAGGCAGGAGAAUCGCUUGAACCCAGGAGGUGGAGGUUGCAGUGAGCUGAGAUCACGCCACUGCACUCCAUCCUGGGCGAUAGAGUGAGACUCUGUCUCAAAAAAAAAAAAAAAAAAAAAAAAAAAGAAAUAACCAAGACCAGACCAGAACAAAAUGAAAUUGAAACAAACAAACAAACAAAGUUACAAAAGAUAAAUGAAACAAAAAGCUGGUUCUUUGAAAAGAUAAAUAAAAUUGAUAGACCAUUUGCAAGAUUAACUAAGAAGAGAGAAGAUCCAAAUAAGCUCAAUUAGAAACAAAACAGGAGAUAUUACAACUGAUACCACAGAAAUACAAAAGAUUAUUCAGGGUUACUAUGAACACCUUUAUGCACAUAAACUAGAAAACCUAGAAGAGAUGGAUAAAUUCCUGGAAAUAGACAACCCUCCUACAUUAAACCAGGAAGAUAUAGAAUCUCUGAACAGACCAAUAACAAGCAGCAAGAUUGAAACGGUAAUUUAAAAAACUGCCAACAACAAAAAAAGCCCAAGGCCAGAUGAUUCACAGCUGAAUUCUAUCAGACAUUCAAAGAAGAAUUGGUACCACUCCUAUUGACACUAUUCCAAAAGACAGAGAGGGAAUCCUCCCUAAAUCACUCUGUGAAGCCAGUAUCAACCUAAUACCAAAACCAGGGAAGGACAUAACAAGAAAAGAAAACUACAGACCCAUAUCCCUAAUGAACAUAGAUGCAAAAAUCCUCAACAAAAUACUAGCUAACCAAAUCCAACAGCAUAUCAAAAAGAUAAUCCACCAUGAUCAAGUGGGUUUCAUAUCAGGGAUGCAGGGAUGGUUUCACAUACGUAAGUCAAUGAAUGUGAUACAGCACAUAAACAGAACUAACAAAAAUCACAUGAUCAUAUCAAUAGAUGCAGAAAAAGCAUCUGGUGUAAAAAUAGGCACAUAGACCAAUGGAAUAGAAUAGGGAACCCAGAAAUAAGCCAAAUACUUACAGCCAACUGAUCUUCAACAAAGCAAACAAAAAAUAAAGUGAGGAAAGGACAUCCUAAUCCACAAAUGGUGCUGGGAUAAUUGGCAAGCCACAUGUAGAAGAAUGAAAGGGGAUCCUCAUCUCUCACCUUAUACAAAAAUCAACUCAAGAUGGAUCAAAGUCUUAAAUCUAAGACCUGAAACCGUAAAGAUUCUAGAAGAUAAUAUUGAAAAAAACCCUUCUAGACAUUGGCUUAGGCAAAGACUUCAUGACCAAAAACUCAAAAGCAAAUCAACAAAAACAAAGAUAAAUAGACGGGACUUAAUUAAGCUAAAAAGCUUCUGCACAGCAAAGGAAAUAAUCAGCAGAGUUAACAGACAACUGAGAGUGGAAGAAAAUUUUCACAAUCUAUACAUCUGACAAAUAACUAAUAUCCAGAAUCCACAAAGAACGCAAACAAAUCAGCAAGAAAAAAAACAAUCCCAUCAAAAAGUGAGCUAA